rnacentral:rRNA from 1 species
UACGUAGGGGGCAAGCGUUGUCCGGAAUCAUUGGGCGUAAAGAGCGCGUAGGCGGCCCUGUAAGUCCGCUGUGAAAGUCAAGGGCUCAACCCUUGAAUGCCGGUGGAUACUGCAGGGCUAGAGUCCGGAAGAGGCGAGUGGAAUUCCUGGUGUAGCGGUGAAAUGCGUAGAUAUCCGGAGGAACACCGGUGGCGAAGGCGGCUUCCUGGACCGACACUGACGCUGAGGCGCGAAAGCUAGGGGAGCAAACGGG